GACUGAGAGACGGCCCAGACUCCUACGGGAGGCAGCAGUGGGGAAUCUUGCGCAAUGGCCGAAAGGCUGACGCAGCGACGCCGCGUGUGGGAUGACAGCUUUCGGGUUGUAAACCACUUUCAGCCCGGACGAACCCCUUUUGGGGGUGACGGUACGGGUAGAGGAAGCACCGGCUAACUCCGUGCCAGCAGCCGCGGUAAUACGGAGGGUGCGAGCGUUGUCCGGAAUUAUUGGGCGUAAAGAGCUCGUAGGCGGUCUGUCGCGUCGGCUGUGAAAACUCGGGGCUCAACUCCGAGCUUGCAGUCGAUACGGGCAGGCUAGAGUUCGGCAGGGGAGACUGGAAUUCCUGGUGUAGCGGUGAAAUGCGCAGAUAUCAGGAGGAACACCGGUGGCGAAGGCGGGUCUCUGGGCCGAUAUUGACGCUGAGGAGCGAAAGCGUGGGGAGCGAACAGGAUUAGAUACCCUGGUAGUCCACGCCGUAAACG
rnacentral:rRNA from 1 species